rnacentral:rRNA from 1 species
GUAGGGAAUAUUGGGCAAUGGAGGCAACUCUGACCCAGCCAUGCCGCGUGCAGGAAGACGGUCCUCUGGAUUGUAAACUGCUUUUGAAUGGGAAGAAACGCACUUUUGCGAAAGUGUUUGACGGUACUAUUAGAAUAAGCACCGGCUAACUCCGUGCCAGCAGCCGCGGUAAUACGGAGGGUGCAAGCGUUAUCCGGAUUUAUUGGGUUUAAAGGGUGCGUAGGCGGCUUGAUAAGUCUGGGGUUAAAGGCGGCAGCUUAACUGUACGCAUGCCCUGGAAACUGUGAAGCUUGAGUGACUUGGAGGUAGCUAGAAUUCCCUGUGUAGCGGUGAAAUGCAUAGAUACGGGGAGGAAUACCGAUUGCGAAGGCAUGUUACUACGAGUAAACUGACGCUGAUGCACGAAAGCGUGGGGAUCAAACAGGAUUAGAAACCCGUGUAGUCC